rnacentral:rRNA from 1 species
GAUGAACGCUGGCGGCGUGCCUAAUACAUGCAAGUCGAGCGAACAGACGAGGAGCUUGCUCCUCUGACGUUAGCGGCGGACGGGUGAGUAACACGUGGAUAACCUACCUAUAAGACUGGGAUAACUUCGGGAAACCGGAGCUAAUACCGGAUAAUAUAUUGAACCGCAUGGUUCAAUAGUGAAAGACGGUUUUGCUGUCACUUAUAGAUGGAUCCGCGCCGCAUUAGCUAGUUGGUAAGGUAACGGCUUACCAAGGCAACGAUGCGUAGCCGACCUGAGAGGGUGAUCGGCCACACUGGAACUGAGACACGGUCCAGACUCCUACGGGAGGCAGCAGUAGGGAAUCUUCCGCAAAGGGCGAAAGCUUGACGGAGCAACGCCGCGUGAGUGAUGAAGGUCUUCGGAUCGUAAAACUCUGUUAUUAGGGAAGAACAAAUGUGUAAGUAACUAUGCACGUCUUGACGGUACCUAAUCAGAAAGCCACGGCUAACUACAUG